UAACUACUCCCUCCGUCCGGAAAUACUUGUCAUCAAAAUGGAUAAAAAGAGAUGUAUCUAAAACUAAAAUAUAUCUAGAUACAUCCCCUUUUAUCCAUUUUGAUGACGAGUAUUUCCGGACGGAGGGAGUACCUU
rnacentral:pre_miRNA from 1 species